rnacentral:rRNA from 1 species
AGAAAAGCAAAAGAAGGGCGUAUGGUGGAUGCCUAGGCUCUCAGAGACGACGAAGGACGUGGUAAGCUGCGAAAAGCUGCGGGGAGUUGCAAACGAGCGUUGAUCCGCAGAUGUCCGAAUAGGGAAACCUACUAUGCUGAAGGCAUAGUGCGAAAGCGUAAACGCGGGGAACUGAAACAUCUAAGUACCCGUAGGAAAAGAAAUCGAAGAGAUUCCCUUAGUAGUGGCGAGCGAAAAGGGAAAAGCCCAAAAGCAUAUUAUUGAGUAGCCGAACUGACUGGAAAGUCAGACCGAAGGGGGUGAAAGUCCCGUAGGCAAAACGAAAUAGUAUGUGAAUGUGAGUAGGGCGGGACACGUGAAAUCCUGUCUGAAUAUGGGGGGACCAUCCUCCAAGGCUAAAUACUCCUGAGAGACCGAUAGCGAACCAGUACCGUGAGGGAAAGGUGAAAAGGACCCCAAGCAGGGGAGUGAAAAGACCCUGAAACCAUACGUCUACAAGCGGUCGAAGCCUUUAGGGGCGACGGCGUGCCUUUUGCAUAAUGAGCCUACGAGUUACAUCUUACUAGCGAGUUUAAGGACUUCAGGUCCGGAGGCGAAGCGAAAGCGAGUCUGAAUAGGGCGAUAUAGCUAGUAGGAGUAGACGCGAAACCGAGUGAUCUACCCAUGGGCAGGUUGAAGGUUGGAUAAUCUCCAACUGGAGGACCGAACUGGUAAACGUUGAAAAGUUUUCGGAUGACCUGUGGUAGGGGUGAAAGGCUAAUCAAACUCGGAGCUAGCUCGUACUCCCCGAAAUGCAUUUAGGUGCAGCGUUAUAAAGCGAGUCAUGGAGGUAGAGCUACCAAUAGGGCUAGGGGGCUUCACCGCCUACCAACCCCUGAUGAACUCCGAAUGCCAUGACAGGUCAAUAGCAGUGAGGCUGCGGGUGCUAAGGUCCGUGGCCGAAAGGGGAACAACCCAGACCAACCGCUAAGGUCCCAAAGUAUGUACUAAGUUGUAAGAACGAUGUGGGGAUGCUAAGACAGCUAGGAUGUUUGCUUGGAAGCAGCAAUCCAUUUAAAGAGUGCGUAACAGCUCACUAGUCGAGCGUUCCUGCGCGGAAAAUAAGCGGGCAUCAAGUACAUCACCGAAGCGUUGGAUUUACCGGUUAGACUGGUAAGUGGUAGGGGAGCAUUCCAGCAGCGUUGAAGCUGAACUGUGAGGUUUGGUGGAGUGGCUGGAAAAGAAAAUGUAGGCAUAAGUAACGAGAAAACGGAUGAGAAAUCCGUUCGCCGUAAGACUAAGGGUUCCUUGUUCGAUGCUAAUCAGAACAGGGUUAGUCGGGGCCUAAGGAGUAGCCGACAGGCGAAUCUGAUGGGAAACGGGUUAAUAUUCCCGUACCUGUAUACAUUUCGAAGGGGCGACGAAGGAGCGUAAGAUCCGCGUGCUGACGGAAUAGCACGUUGAAGUCCGUAGGCUUUGAAGGAGGUAGGCAAAUCCGCUUCCUGAGCUGAAAGGCGAUAGUACACCGAGGCUGCAAGGCCGAGGUGAUAGUGAUCCCAAGCAAGCUUCCAAGAAAACCCUCUAAGGCUAGGUGUAUACAGCCCGUACCGCAAACCGACACAGGUAGUCGAGGAGAGUAUCCUCAGGCGCUCGAGUGAUCCGUGGCUAAGGAACUAGGCAAAAUUGACUCGUAACUUCGGGAGAAGAGUCACCCAACGCAAGUUGGGUCGCAGUGAAGAGGCCCAGGCGACUGUUUAACAAAAACACAGGACUCUGCAAAAUCGUAAGAUGCUGUAUAGGGUCUGACACCUGCCCGGUGCCGGAAGGUUAAGGAAGGGGGUUAGGGGGUUAAACCUCGAAGCUUUUGACUGAAGCCCCGGUAAACGGCGGCCGUAACUAUAACGGUCCUAAGGUAGCGAAAUUCCUUGUCGGGUAAGUUCCGACCUGCACGAAUGGUGUAACGAUCUGGGCACUGUCUCGGCCACGAGCUCGGUGAAAUUGAAGUAUCGGUGAAGAUACCGAUUACCCGCAACGGGACGGAAAGACCCCGUGAACCUUUACUAUAACUUCACAUUGAGCUUGAGCAUAAGAUGUGUAGGAUAGGUGGGAGGCUAUGAAGCUGUCACGCUAGUGGUGGUGGAGCCGACGUUGAAAUACCACCCUUUUUAUGCUUAGGUUCUAAUCCCUCACAAAAGGGAAGACAGUGUGUGGUGGGUAGUUUGACUGGGGUGGUCGCCUCCAAAAGAGUAACGGAGGCUCGCAAAGGUACCCUCAGCAUGGUUGGUAACCAUGCGCAGAGCGUAUAAGUACAAGGGUGCUUGACUGAGAGAGGGACGCCUCGAGCAGGUGCGAAAGCAGGCUUAAGUGAUCCGGUGGUUCCGUAUGGAAGGGCCAUCGCUCAAAGGAUAAAAGGUACUCCGGGGAUAACAGGCUGAUCUCCCCCAAGAGCUCACAUCGACGGGGAGGUUUGGCACCUCGAUGUCGGCUCGUCACAUCCUGGGGCUGGAGAAGGUCCCAAGGGUUGGGCUGUUCGCCCAUUAAAGUGGCACGCGAGCUGGGUUCAGAACGUCGCAAGACAGUUCGGUCCCUAUCUGUUGUGGGCGCAGGAGUAUUGAGGAGAUCCGACACUAGUACGAGAGGACCGUGUUGGACGCACCGCUUGUGUACCAGUUGUGCCGCCAGGUGCAGCGCUGGGUAGCUAUGUGCGGAAUGGAUAAGCGCUGAAAGCAUCUAAGCACGAAGCCAACUCCAAGAUGAUUACUCCUUUAAGGGUCGUGGAAGAUGACCACGUCGAUAGGCUACAGGUGGAAGUGCAGUAAUGCAUGGAGCUGAGUAGUACUAAUUACCCGUACGCUUUUCAGC